CCUACGGGAGGCAGCAGUGAGGAAUAUUGGUCAAUGAGCGGAAGCCUGAACCAGCCAAGUAGCGUGCAGGAUGACGGCCCUAUGGGUUGUAAACUGCUUUUAUACGGGAGUAACGCUCCCUACGUGUAGGGUUUCGAAUGUACCGUAUGAAUAAGGACCGGCUAAUUCCGUGCCAGCAGCCGCGGUAAUACGGAGGGUGCGAGCUUUAUCCGGAUUUAUUGGGUUUAAAGGGAGCGUAGGCCGCAGGUCAAGGGAGAGGUAAAAUUGCGGGGCUCAACCGGGCCUAGCAGGUGACACUGGGUUGCUUGAGUCAGCGAAAAGCAGGCGGAAUGCGUCGUGUAGCGGUGAAAUGCUUAGAUAUGACGCAGAACCCCGAUUGCGAAGGCAGCUUACUGCAGCUCAACUGACGCUGAUGCUCGAAAGCGCGGGUAUCGAACAGGAUUAGAUACCCCUGUAGUC
rnacentral:rRNA from 1 species